rnacentral:rRNA from 1 species
AGUGAACGCUGGCGGUAGGCCUAACACAUGCAAGUCGAACGGCAGCACAGUAAGAGCUUGCUCUUACGGGUGGCGAGUGGCGGACGGGUGAGGCAUACAUCGGAAUCUACUUUUUCGUGGGGGAUAACGUAGGGAAACUUACGCUAAUACCGCAUACGACCUACGGGUGAAAGCAGGGGAUCUUCGGACCUUGCGCGAUUGAAUGAGCCGAUGUCGGAUUAGCUAGUUGGCGGGGUAAAGGCCCACCAAGGCGACGAUCCGUAGCUGGUCUGAGAGGAUGAUCAGCCACACUGGAACUGAGACACGGUCCAGACUCCUACGGGAGGCAGCAGUGGGGAAUAUUGGACAAUGGGCGCAAGCCUGAUCCAGCCAUACCGCGUGGGUGAAGAAGGCCUUCGGGCUGUAAAGCCCUUUUGUUGGGAAAGAAAAGCAGCAGGUUAAUACCCCGCUGUUCUGACGGUACCCAAAGAAUAAGCACCGGCUAACUUCGUG